rnacentral:rRNA from 1 species
AAAAGUUGGGGAGACCUGACGCUGAAAGAUGGACUCGCGUCCCAUUAGCUAGUUGGUAGGGUAAUGGCCUACCAAGGCGACGAUGGGUAGCCGGCCUGAGAGGGUGGCCGGCCACACUGGGACUGAGACACGGCCCAGACUCCUACGGGAGGCAGCAGUGGGGAAUUUUGCGCAAUGCUCGUAAGAGUGACGCAGCGACGCCGCGUGAAUGACGAAGGCCUUCGGGUCGUAAAGUUCUUUCGACAGGGAAGAAAAUGCCUAUAAGUAACUGUGUAUGUAUUGGCGGUACCUGUAUAAGCAGCCCCGGCUAACUCCGUGCCAGCAGCCGCGGUAAUACGGAGGGGGCGAGCGUUGUUCGGAGUGACUGGGCGCAAAGAGCACGUAGGCGGUGUUGUAAGUCAUUAGUCAAAGACUAGAGCUCAACUUUAGUAAGGCUAGUGAUACUAUAAUACUAGAGUAUCAGAGAGGAUUGCAGAAUUCCUGGUGUAGCGGUGAAAUGCGUAGAUAUCAGGAGGAAUACCGUUAGCGAAGGCGGCAAUCUGGCUGGAAACUGACGCUGAGGUGCGAAAGCGUGGGUAGCAAACAGGAUUAGAUACCCUGGUAGUCCACGCUGUAAACGAUGGAUGCUAGGUGUUGGGCUUUUAAGUUCA